rnacentral:sRNA from 1 species
AUUGCCAAUUCGCCCUCUUCCAAUAGUAUUACGAUGCUUCUUGUCUUUCAAUAUCUGUCUUGAUUCCCUCAUUGUUGGCCGGUCAAGGUGAUUAUGACUGUCAAGGGCUGAACUGUGUCCUGUCGCUCAGAUAGCACAAUCAUUGACGCGCGCAGCGAAUAGGAAGAUGGAUUCCCCGCUCCAUCUCAGGUGGCCACUCCAGGGGCGAUGGAUGACCUUUGGCCAGAGCCGGGCAUUGUGAAGAGAAGAGAAGAGAGAGAUAAUAUCACUAAUCAUACGAGUUCAAAAUAGAACUAAUGAGGUAACGAUUUUUGGUAAUAGUUCCUAUCAUAGAAUUCAACCACUACGUCAUACAGGUCAUGGUGUCCCAUUUGGCGCCAUUCUAGAAAUGGGACCAGAACAGGACCGGGACUAGAUAUCUUUUUACAAAACAUGAUUUGAGGCUUAAUAUUUACUAUAAAUAGUGUAAUGGAACUGGAACUAGCAUUAUAAGAAGUGUAAAGUGACUAGUACAAUCAAACAAUAUUUGGGACCAGGACGGAGAUAUUUGAGAAUGGAAUCAGUUGAAAAUUUGGUUAUGUUCCCAUGCACGGCCACACAGCC